rnacentral:miRNA from 1 species
UAGUGGAGCUGGGAGGCAGCUCGG